AUUGAACGCUGGCGGCAGGCCUAACACAUGCAAGUCGAGCGCGCGGCGGACGGGUGUGUAAUGUAUGGGGACUGCCCGAUAGACGGGGAUCACUACUGGAAACGGUGGCUAAUCCCGCCUACUGUCGGUUAACCCAGAUGGGAUGAGCUAGUAGGUAAGGUAAUGGCUUACCUAGGCGACGAGCCCUAGCUGGUCUGAGAGGAUGAACAGCCACACUGGGACUGAGACACGGCCCAGAUGCCUAGGGAGGCAUCAGUGGGGAAUAUGGCACAAUGGGCGUAAUCCUGAUGCAGCCAUGCCGCGUGUAUGCAGAAGGCCCUAGGGGUGUAAAGUACUUUCAGGCGGGAGGCGUUACCGACAGAAGAAGCACCGGCUAACUCCGUUCCAGCAGCCGCGGUAAUUC
rnacentral:rRNA from 1 species